rnacentral:lncRNA from 1 species
GCCAAUAUGAUGAAACCCCAUCUCUAAUAAAAAUACAGAAAAUUAGCCGGGCAUGGUGGUGUGUGCCUGUAAUCCCAGCUACUCAGGAGGCUGAGGCAGGAGAAUGGCUUGAACCCGGGAGGCAGAGAUUGCAGUGAGACGAGAUCGUGCCACUGAACUCCAGCCUGGGCAACAAGAGCUAAACUCCAUCUCAAAAAAAAAAAAAAAAAAAAAAAAAGAGAGAGAGAGAUGAAUAAGCAUGAAUUUGAGUAAACCACUGAAGAAAAACAACCAGGCAGAUAGGAAAGCAUAAGUGAAAACGUGAAGGAUCUAGAAGUAUAGACUCUACUUCUAAGAAUUUUAUAUGAUAAUUGGGAGAGAGAGAGAUUGAGGAGGCAUGAAAUGAAGGAAACAUUUUUAUUCUAGAGAGAAAGAGAGCCUUGGGUUUGUUUAUGACUGAGAUAAAUUAUAGGUUCUGGAGCAAGAAAGCAUGAGUACAGGAGCACAAUUCCAGAAGAAAAGGCAGAAUAUGAAAUCAAGAUCUCAAGUGAAUUUUUAACAAAGAAAGAAGAACAUAUUGUCAUUUAAGAAGACAAAAGUGAAGAACAUAGAAAAGGGCAUAUUUUUGGU